GGGAGCGAGCUGCUGCGGCUGCUGGCGGCUCCAGUGAAGGCUGGGGGUGGGGGGCGGCCUUUCGAUCGCCGUCCUCGGCCCGAGUGACAGUAGCGGUGGGAGGGGGCGGGAGUCCCCCCGUCUCCUUUCUGCGUAACAUUAGAGCUUCUCUCCGGGGCACGCGUCUCGCGACAAGCCGCGCGCGUCCUCCUCCUACGAGCCCACAGGCUGCGACGGGAACAGGUCUUAUAUUUUGGGAAGAGGAAGAGAGUUAAAAGCCAACGUUCUCCAAAAUGUCAUACAGGCAAGGUCUAGAGAAAUACCGAGAUCUGGAUGAAGAUCAGAUCCUUGGAGCACUGACAGAAGAGGAAAUUAAGAUGCUAGAGGAUGAACUAGUAGACCUAGAUCCAGACAAUGCAAUAUUACCUGCAGGAAUGAGACAGAGAGAUCAGACUAAGAAAACACCCACAGGCCCCUUUAAUAGAGAUGUUCUUCUGGCACAUUUGGAGAAGCAGGCAAAUGAUACUAAAGACCGAGAUGAUCUGGUUCCCUUCACAGGAGAGAAAAGAGGAAAAAUCUGGGUCCCCAAGCAGAAAGCUCUUGAUCCUGUUUUGGAAAGUGUAACUCUGGAACCAGAACUGGAGGAAGCCCUGGCAAAUGCUUCAGAUGCUGAGCUCUGUGACAUCGCUGCUAUUCUUGGCAUGCAUACGUUGAUGAGUAACCAACAAUAUUAUGAAGCACGGGGGACUACAACUAUAGUCAACAAAGAAGGAUUGGAUAGUAUAAUUAAGCCCACCCAGUAUAAACCAGUUCCUGAUGAACCAAAUUCGACCAAUGUAGAAGAAACUUUGGAACGAGUAAAAAACAAUGAUCCAGAACUUGAGGAAAUCAAUCUCAAUAAUAUUAAGGAUAUUCCUGUACCUAUUUUGAAAGCCUACGUUGAAGCUCUGAAGACUAAUACCUAUGUGAAAAAGUUCAGCAUAGUAGGAACAAGAAGCAAUGACCCUGUUGCUUUUGCGCUGGCAGAAAUGUUAAAAGUAAACAGCGUAUUGAAGAGCUUAAAUGUGGAAUCAAAUUUCAUUACUGGAUCUGGAAUCCUGGCCCUGAUAAAAGCACUGCAGCACAACGCAACACUAAUUGAACUCAAAAUUGACAACCAGUGCCAACUUUUGGGCAACAAGGUAGAAAUGGAGAUUGCCAGUAUGUUAGAAAAAAACACGUCUCUCUUGAAGUUUGGUUAUAACUUCACUCAACAGGGACCCAGACUUCGGGCGUCCAAUGCCAUGAUGAACAACAAUGACCUUGCUCGUAUACAUCGAUGUGACCGUCCCUGGCAUUACACCUCAGCCCUGGAACUGGAAGAUGUAUAAGUAUAGAUUUCCCUGCAAUCCCCCUCUUGGCAAUUGCUUUUCUUUCCUUCCCAGUGAGAAAAAGACGGCUUGCAGACCUGACUGGACCCAUCUUUCCCAAGUGUCGAACUGGGGUGUAGUUUUGGUUGCGAAGAUGCGUCAGCAAGCUUGCACUGGCUUAUGAAGGCUUAUGGAAGCAGAGCAACUGUGCAGUGAAUUUCUGGGGCUUGUUUUUUCAUAUGACACCCUUGCACAUGGAAGAUUUAAAUUAAAUAGUGAUUAUAGGCAAAAGUCUUCAUUAUCAAAUUGUGGAAUAUGAUGGCAUCUUUAUUUUUAAAGAGUAAUCCCAAGUUUUAGCCUGUCAACCAUACAAGAUGCAAUUUUGGAUUCUGGUGAAAUAUAUCAUUGCUCAAAAACAGCUUGAAUUUAUAGUUAGAUCACAGCCUAGUUUUAGUAUGGAUUUGUGUGCACGUGCGCAGUGAUAUGCAUGAGUAGUUGGCAACAAUAAAACAAUGCAAUACUGCUCUGCAAAUGUAGCAGAAAUGUUAAAAAAAUACUUUAUUUUGAUCUUGAAAGAAUUAGAAAGAUUCUACUAAUCUGACAGCAUUUUUAUCAUCCCAAUGUACAUAAUUAUUUUAAAUUGAGAAUUGCAAUCAGCUAGCAACAUCCAGAACCCUAAGUUACAACCCAGCAUUAGAAUCAUCUAUUAUACCUCACAGCCCUCCAGCACAAAAAAUGUAAGGCCACUGUUUCCCUAAGCAAUAGUCACAAGAAAGGCAGCUGCUGAAUGGGAUGUUGGUUAUUUCUAUUUUUCCUGAAGAACUGAAGAAUUUAAAAAUAUGGAUUAAAUCUGAUAAUACACACAA